CCUACGGGAGGCAGCAGUGAGGAAUAUUGGUCAAUGGGCGCGAGCCUGAACCAGCCAAGUAGCGUGAAGGAUGACUGCCCUACGGGUUGUAAACUUCUUUUAUAAAGGAAUAAAGUGAGGCACGUGUGCCUUUUUGUAUGUACGUGAUGAAUAAGGAACGGCUAACUCCGUGCCAGCAGCCGCGGUAAGACGGAGGAUGCGAGCGUUAUCCGGAUUUAUUGGGGUUAAAGGGUGAGCAGGCGGAAUGGCUAGUCAGCGGUUAAAUUUCGGGGCUCAACUCCGUCGUGCCGUUGAAACUGGAGUUCUGUCGUGAGCGAGCAGUAUGCGGAAUGCGUGGUGUAGCGGUGAAAUGCAUAGAUAUCACGCAGAACUCCGAUUGCGAAGGCAGCAUACCGGCGCUCAACUGACGCUCAUGCACGAAAGCGUGGGUAUCGAACAGGAUUAGAUACCCCUGUAGUC
rnacentral:rRNA from 1 species